GUUGUAUUGAUGUGCCUUUGGAAAACAUACAGCAUUGUAUUAUGAAGAAGCAGUGUGUACUUAGCUUAAAUUCCUUGUCUAUGUCCAACCAUAGACAGUCAAUUUAGUUCCAUCUUUAGCCGCUAGGUGCUGCCAGCAAGUAUUAAGGAAGCGCAGCCAUCUUUGAUCUUCAUAGUCUUCACCAGGAAGAACUUCCUGCAAUGCUGUAUGUUUUCCUUCUCGGCACAUAAUAUCGGUUUUAUUGUUAUGUAAAACCGUAAUAUUGAUGUGCCUUUGGAAAACAUACAGCAUUGUAUUAUGAAGACGUGUUUGUUAUCUGCUGGUGAAAUUAUUAAGCACAACGCUAUGAUGAAAUAGAAAGUCGACAGCGCUGCUUUAUGCAGAAGGAUUGUUUUACAGGCAAAAUUUUCUUUUUGGAAAAGAAAACAGAAUUUGGCAACAUCUGCAGACUUAGGAUCAAUUUUAAAACUGUAGCACCAUAUGCACCAUCUUCUAGUUGCUGGUAAGUAUGCUGGCAAAGUGGAUUGACACCAGCUAAUUUUCAAUAAAUCUUCUCCUGUGUA